rnacentral:rRNA from 1 species
AUUGAACGCUGGCGGCAGGCCUAACACAUGCAAGUCGAGCGGAUGAAGGGAGCUUGCUCCUGGAUUCAGCGGCAGACGGGUGAGUAAUGCCUAGGAAUCUGCCUGGUAGUGGGGGAUAACGUCCGGAAACGGGCGCUAAUACCGCAUACGUCCUGAGGGAGAAAGUGGGGGAUCUUCGGACCUCACGCUAUCAGAUGAGCCUAGGUCGGAUUAGCUAGUUGGUGGGGUAAAGGCCUACCAAGGCGACGACCCGUAACUGGUCUGAGAGGAUGAUCAGUCACACUGGAACUGAGACACGGUCCAGACUCCUACGGGAGGCAGCAGUGGGGAAUAUUGGACAAUGGGCGAAAGCCUGAUCCAGCCAUGCCGCGUGUGUGAAGAAGGUCUUCGGAUUGUAAAGCACUUUAAGUUGGGAGGAAGGGCAGUAAGUUAAUACCUUGCUGUUUUGACGUUACCAACAGAAUAAGCACCGGCUAACUUCGUG